ensembl:lncRNA
CCAGCGGCAGUCUCCUCUUAUUGUCUCAAUGGCUGCACACGCAUUCCUCCUCUGCUCCCUCGCCUUGCUGUCCGCUCUCAGCCGGCCUGGGCUCUCGUUCCACGACGAAGAAGCACAGCCAGGACUUACCUAUGACGAAGUGCCUGAGAUCUUGGACAGGAGCAAAGAGAACCCCAAACAAGCAACAAGAGUCACAUCAAGUCAAGAUGGUGAGUACGGCUUAGAAAGUGAAGAGGUUUAUUUGACGCCCGAAGAUGAAAACCCACUCAGGAGAAUACUGCAGGUACAGUCUCUCUGUUCUAGCCGGGCUCUCUCCACCGUCAGCCAUUCGCUCACACAUACAAAUACACACCGAAACACACACUAGGAUGCUCGCAAACAAAACAGAGCAUGCUCACUCAGCC